UUUCCAUUCCACUUUAACCUAAGAAAGCGCAGCGUUCGCAACGCAAACUUUUCCAAGAGAAUUCCUCAUUCGUAUAACGUUUUAACGUCUGGAACACCGACAUGGUGUGCAAAAUUUACGCUACUGCCGGGCUACUUCGAUACCUGAAGGACUCGUAAAUUAUGCCAAAGAAUUAUCGAUCCGGUUGCCCCACCAGCCUCGCUUCCCUGCACUGUGACGUGUCUGACUAUAUACGUACAAGUUCUACUCCAAAGUAGGCCCCAGCCAAGUUGCUCUUCACACACGGGCGUUGCUUUACUUUCCUCAUCUCACUAUCCUUUUUCGCUUCCUACCGCGAGAGUGCAUUUUAGUCCGACAUACCGCCAGCGAAAAUUCCCAUAACUCGGAGAAUUUUUAAAAUAAAAUCUGUUUCUUUCUCGCAAUAAUGAAAACAAAAAUUAGAAAUUUCCUCACUCAUGACAGGACAAUGAUAAAGUCGUUCAUAAAAUAAUUAAAAUAGGGGAGAAGAUGACAAAGAGACAAAAGAAAAUAUAUUCGGCGUAUUCGUCUCAUAAAUAAAUAAAGGACACAAAGGGAUUUCAUUUUGUGCCUAUCUCAUCUCUCUUCUGCACGAAAGAAAAAACUACUUGAAUCAGAUAAGAAAUCAAACAAAGACAAAAGCGUUGGUGAGGCUAUAUUCUCAUGAUAUACCUCACGCAGCAGCAUGAAUGCAGCCUGACUAAUAAAUUGAUGUGAAGAACUCCAUAAAAAUUUUACAUGGCCCAUGGCACCACGGAAUACUGAUAAGUGGAGCCAGAGUUCGGCAGUGGAAGUGUUCAGUAGUGAGGGUGAGGGAUGACGAGGGAUGAAGAAAUACCGGGUUGUGCUGAUGGCUAUUAAAAAGAUCGAAAUGCGCGAGCCAAAUGGCCAGCAAAAGUGCGAAUACUGAAUUCACAAAAGCCGUUAUAACUCCAUUGCUUUCUAUCGUUAAAAAAAAAUUUAUAAAACUUCAUGAGACAAGUGACAAUGAAUGUGACUGUACUUUUUUAAUUUUCAAAAAGAUAAAUUACGACAAAAAAUCAUUGAACUUUUUCAAUAAGUUCCAGAUGAGCAUGAUGCAGUGCCUAAAGUUGGUAAUAGUUAAAUAAUUCACUGGUAUAAAAGAAUAUUUAAAUUUCAGUUGAACUAAAGUGAGCAUAAAUUGUCAGGAAAAGAGGCAAGUUACCAUGGGCAAAAGUUUAGGACGAUAUGGAGGAAAAUGUAGACCACGUAUAAAGGAGUCGAGGGAAAAGGAAGAAAGUGAAUAAAAAGAGUAAAACUAUAAGGUCGAGUGGUAAGAUAUUUAUAAUUGAAAAGUACCUCGUGUCACAGUUGUGAAAACACGAGCUUUUUUUCGUUGUUGAUGUGUAAUCAGGUAGACUGCAGCACUGUUUGGAUGAAAAGAGAUAAGGUGGUGGACAAACAAUGCUGAAUUUGUCUUUAAUUAAUAACGAUGACGUGGUCGAGAGAUCUGGAGAGCUCAAAGUGAAGAUAGGUGUCUCUUCUGGGGGAGGGAAAUGGGAAGUGAGACGAGUGGAGGGCGCAAGGGAGGAGUUAGAAAAGGGGAACAAUGAGGUGAAAAUGAGAGAGAUAGUUAGUUGCCUGUCACUUCGUAAUUAACACCUAUUUCCCUGUUCGUCCUUUCGCUACCGGUGUAUGUCGGAGCGCCUAAUUGCCACAGGCCAGAGGUGCCAGCACAGCCAACGUCACCAGUAAAGGCCAGAAGGCUCCUCGGUCACGUGCCGCUCGAGCACCUCAAAUAAUUUUGUGGUUUAUGGGUAUGACGCUGUCAUGGCCCAGCACCUCCCCCCAUUUUUUUUUCAUAAAUAACAUGCCCAAUACUUCCGUCAUGGGAGUCUUUGUUCGUUAGCUCAGAUGAGUUAUCUUCGUUUUGACAAAUUUAAGUAAAUAAGCUGGUUAUCGUGACGGAAUCAUGAUUGCACAGCCGGACAAAUACAUGUCAAUAUUGACACACAUUUAUUUGUUGGUAUGUCACGCUGUUUAUGGGUCGAUCAAUAGCAAUGCCAUGUGAAAAAAAAUUGUCGUUGAUCUAGUACAGAUUAAAAUUGAUGUAGCGAAGAGACUGUCAUUAGAAAAAUACAAAUGGCUCAGUCAAUCCUCGCUGUUCCUUUCCACCCUCACCCCAACCCCCUUAACAUUGUACAGGACGUUUGAGGGUUGUCCUAUACCUAAAACGGGAUUACGUUCGUAAAUCUUUGAACGUAGCGAACUACAAGCAGAACGAAUCGGUGGUUCUACUUCACCAAACCGCUUUGUUCGCCAGCCCCGUGACCAGGUCUUCAUUCGUUUUUUUAACCUUUUUCCGGUUUGUUCCGACGACUGAAAAUAGAAGGUUGUAGACUUUUUUUUUAGUUCUCUGAGAUUUAACUCGACGUGACCUAUUGGCUCGGCAUUAGUUCAAAGUUCACCACAUUUCCUGACCCAGUCUGUCUCUUUUUUUUCCUUGAACUCUGAAUUUAAAUAUUGGUUCCUCUUUCGUUUCUUCGUCCACCCGUCGGUAAUGUGCAGUAUGACGAGGAAAUACCAAUAAUUAUUUUGAGCGUUCAUUGUCACAGUCAUUUUCACCUACUGUUUUAGUUGAAAAAUUUCAUUUUAUCCGGGAAAAUUAAAUCAAAUGACGCUGAAUCAAGUAAUGCAGUCCCGAUAGCUGGGGUAGCACUGCGAAAUUCAAUUUAUUGGAUAUACUGUUCACUGGAUCUUACAAUGAAAAAAAAAACUGACUGGGGGUAGCUCUUAUCCUAUUUUCCUCCGAGAAACUCUGACUUCUAUCACAAUGGGCUUCGGUGAAAUAAUACAUAAUGGAAUGGUUUCGAGACGAGUCAAACAUUUCUCCAAUCUUAACCGCGAAUAAUAAUUGAAAUAACGAUUCUGCAUCGAGUUCUCAUCGAGAAAUUCCAUCUGUUCGUGUUCGAUAAAAAAUUAGAGGAACAGUUGUAGACAAAUAGUGGUGGAUUCUGGGGAAAUUACUUGGAGGAUAAAAGAAAAUUCCCAGUUAUUAUUUCGGACGUCUGGUGAUGGUAGGACUUGAUAAGACUCGAAUUGGUUAUCGAUAAUGAAUAGUGACAAUAAUCUAUUUGAGGAUACAUUAUUUGAAUAAGCUACUUGACUUGUGUGAUGAUAUUAAUUUUCAUAAUUUGAAGAAUAAUCGAUAUUUAAAUGUUACUGUCACAUGUGCUAAAACCUCAACCACUUUAAACUGUCAAAUUUCCAUGCAAUUUUAACUUUUUUUAUCCCUCUGCUGCCUCAUAAAUUAUCGGGUGCUCUUUCUCUCUCUCUCAGAGUAUUUAUGUACAUAAAUACACGGGUUUAUGUCCCAUUUUAAACUACAAUAAAAAGAAAGAGAAAGGCUCUCACAAAAAAGGACACAAAGGACCACCAUAAACGCCAAAGUCUAGAGGAAGAAGGACGGAAGGAACGAAGUUUUCACCAAAAGUCCAAUAAAGGAAUGCAGGGAGUCCAUGGAUGAACUGACGGUCAACACGGAGAAGCAGAUAAUCCGGGUAUUAGAACAAUCUCCCACAUUAGACAAUGAAACGGCUGACGAGGUGGUCAGACUAUGAAAAAAAAAUCUUGUGCAUAUUUACUACCGACAAGUAAAGUUAAUUGGCAUUAACAUAGGGUCCUAAGUAAAUAUAUUUUGCCUGCAAUAAUUUUUCAGCUCGACGGAAUGCGAAAUCUUCAGGGAAUCCACAGGAAUAUACAAUAUAUUUGAACCCCCAUGUGAUCGAAUGAUGAGGUUUCUGUUGGGAGCCCUUAGAAUCAACAAUUGAAGUGUCCAAUUUAAUCUAGAGCCAUUAUUAAAAUAAAUAAACAAAAACAGUGAAAUUUGCCAUGGACUAGGCAGAGAGAAUAGUUAAAUGAUUUUGAAUAUCGAUAAAUUUGUCACAAUUCGAAAUAAUUUUUCGCUGACUGGAAAGUUGAUUGUUCAUAAAUUAUCGUUAUUCAAUAAUCAUUAGGGAAUGCUAUUGAAUUUAUUCGAUGACUGAUUUAGUUCUCCAAUCUAUAUUAAACCGAGUCACCUCGUCUCCGCUCAUAACGUGACCACCAUCUGCUAGCCAUCCCCAACCCUCCCUCCAUAAGUUUUUCGAAGAAAUCGCCACACAACGAUAAAAAACUUGCAACGAGUUUGCACGUCCUUAAUUGAUCACAAGCUCUACCAUUGAAUUCCCAUCCCCCGACAAUUGGCGAUCCACUGAGAAUUUCAAUCAAAUUAAAGAGAACGUGACGGGAUG